GUAUGUUUCUCAGAAACGCAAUUUUCUCACAAUGUCGGAAUGCAGCGCUAGCUCGCAUUUAACUGCACCCUGACAUUGUGAAAACACACGUUGCCGCAACAUGGCGAAGCGGAACUAUGGCGAGACUUAAUCAAAGCUCCGCGUGUAGCGUUGUCACAACACUCUGGACAGGGUCGCAUUCAAAAGCGAUCCACACAAUCCCAUGCAGAUCGUCUCCCAGCCUUGUUCCCUAUGCUGCCGUGGAUAGAAUCCAGGGUCCGCUAAACCCUGGUCAGGAUAAGCAGCAAGAAGCAGAUGAAUGGACACACCCCAGCAUUGUUCUAUAUUUACUUUAAUAUUUGGCUGGAUAUUACCUGCAUUGUACCAUUUACUUAUUGUUUUAAAUAUUUCCUGCCAUUCCACAGAAAUAUUGAAAAUGUCAAAUAAUUGCGUCAGCCAGUGAUGUUAUGCAUACCGUAAAUUGAAAACAGUCGUGCGUUCAUAGAGAAACAAGAAAAAAUAUCAGAUACCUUUUCAUAAAACAAUUCUGGCAUUCGUGUUUUCUAUACUGGAGCAUUUUGUGAAAUAUGCAGUGCGAAAUUUUGAGUCAUAUUAGUCAAACCUUUAAUAAAAAGAUCUCACAUUU